UUUGCAUUGCUUGCAUAAGAAUUAGUUACUAUUUAAUGUUAAUUCAUUAUUAAAAACUAUAUUUUCCUUAUUUAAAAAGUUUUUUGUCAUAGGUUGGCAAGUAUGCAUUAUAAGUGUCUUAAAUUAUAUGGAGAUUAUGUAAAAAAAAUAGCUGAAUAACGUGCCUUUUAAACAUAAGUAAUAAAAAAUGUUAAUUUUUUUUUAAUUUAUUUAUUUAUUCUAAAACUUCAGUUUUUUUUUUCUGAAUAGCAUACAUAUGUUAGUAGUGAUGUUUGGUGAAUGGAGUGCAAAAAUAUGUUCAAAAUUGUAUUAGAUAAAUUAUGUCUGAUUAAAUAAUAGCUAUUAAACACAAGCUGUAUGAUAAUUGGGGAAAGAGGUUAUAGGGGCUGAUUGAUGAAAACGAUAGACUUUCAGAUGAAAUGGUGGUGCUGUAAAAAAGUAACGUAAUGUAUUUUUUAAAAUAUAAAAAAUUACCAAAUUAACGGUUUUUACUAAUUAUUAUUUCAAAUGAGUUUAAGGGUAGCUUCCCUCUUUCCAAAAUUAAAAAUAACUGAAUUGUUUGGUAAAUUUUAUUCAAGUUGUGCAUUUCAGUUACUUGUUCAGAGUCUUUGGGCCAUUACAAUCUGCCCUCUAUCAAAUUCGCUUAGAUCAGCAGCCCUUCCCAUCACUCUCAAAAGUAAGUGCAAAGAUUCAUUUCUUUCUUCAGCUGCAGUUCAGUACAAUUCCUACUUAAUCACAUACCCUCCACAUCAUCCAGAUGAGUUCAUUGAAAAAUGUGAGGAUGGUCAUAAUAUUUUUUUCUUGUCAGUGUAUGUGUAUCCAGCAUACUAUUCAUUAUCUUGUUUGUACAAUGAAUUAGGUUGCUGUAUUUUCAAUGAAAAUCGUGUUUUAAUUCAUUGAAGGGAAAAGUUUCUUACAGAGAAGAACUAGUGACAAAUAUAUAUUAAAUAGAAAUCUUAUAUCUAGGUAAAAGAAGUCAUUCUUCAUUUGAAUUUUAAGCUCUGUCAUAGUCAGCAGUGUAGAUUAGGACUUAAUAAUAUAGAUAUGCCGUGUAUGAAUUUCAUAUGAAGUGAGUAAAACUAUUAAAAGCCAUUGUAAGGUUAAUAAAAAAUUCUAUAAUCGUAUUAAAAGCCUAUGUCAGGUUAAUAAAAAGAUAGUCAUAUUAAAACCAAUUUUCUCUGUGUGUGGGGGGGGGAUGUUGGUAUGUCAUAAGUUAAUUCUUUGAUCUCACACAUACUGUCAUACUAAUGCAUAUCAUUAGCAUCAUCCAUUAUUAUUUAAACUGGAACAUUAAAUUUAAGCAAAGUGAAAGAUGUCUGUCUGCUUACAAUUCUAAAGUUCGACUAAAUGGUUUAUCCUUCCUGUAAUUUGUACCUGCUUAUGUUAAAUUCUUUCCGAAUUCACACAGAAUUCAGUCGCAGCUCUGUAAUUAUAUAGAAUUGUUCCUUAUUUUCAUUAAACAUCCACUCACAAUAAGAUAUUGUAGGCUCUGGCUUAUUCUGUUUAAGGAUCAGAGUAUUUGAUAAGUAAUUUUUUAUGUAGUUUCUGUAUAUCAGAUUUGACAGAACACAGAAGAUGCUAAAUAAUUUAAUAUCAAAUUAAUAAGAAUGCAACUUUCUUUAAAUGAUAGGAAAGUUUGUAAAAAUGGAUUCUGAAAUGAAAAUCUUCAUCGAUUCAUUCAGAACUUCAUCGAUUUUCAAAGAUUUGUGGUCUUAUCAAACUGCUUGUAGAUUUAGCAACAAACAUAAUGUUUGGGUCUUUUAUAGGUAAAGUUACUGAAUUUAAUUUAAAGAGUAGAUUUUUAGUACUGAAAAAAGAGUAAACCUUUUCAAAUUCAGUCAUGCAUGUAACAAAGUGUAAAAAGGAAAAAUAGCAAAAAUGAGAUUUUUCAUUUAUUAAAAGGUAAUUUUUUAAUAAUUAAAAUACAUCCUACUGAAAUAAAUAAACACAAAUAUUAAGGCACACUUGCAUGUAUGUCUUAAAGUACAAAAGUAGAAAAUAAAAGGUAUAACACAUGAGCAGAGCGACUUUGUUGCUUCGUACGUACUAAUAUAACAUUUCAAAUAUGCACUUAAAAAAAAAAAAAAAA